CGUGCUUAUGGCGAUGAUCCUGGGUUCACCACAUUUGAACAUGGCCAUAGUAGCGCGACGCAUGAUUGGGGCGAAAGCAGUAGCGGUUAUGUUCCGAAAAAUACCACGUUCGACCCGCUAAUGUCUUAUGGAUUUGACUAGUUCUCAUCAACUCCCCACCAGUCUGUGGGGUAUGGAUUCGCAGCGUAUGGCCAAUCUGGGCAUGACGAUUAUUACACCCCAUUAAGUGCGGUGUAUGAUCCUACACAGCCCGGGUCGUCAUCGCAAGUAGGUCAGGGUCUAUUCCAUGUUCAAGACUCGAGACCGUACUUCGAUUCAAAUCCUCUUCAACACCCCAUCCACGACUACCUAUUUAGAUCCUCAUCCGUGCAAGGCGGCGUUGAAAGCAUACAGUCUCAAUGGUCGCAGUCAAAUGUUCAAGAAGAGCAAUAACUGCAGCAGCCAAGGAGGCCUACAAGACAACGCCGCCCACCGCUUUGUGGAACCGGAUCCCGACACCAAAGGCACGGAUGAAGUCAACGGCCGAUGGUGAUUGUCUACAUUGCUCGACUACAUUAGCACUAUCACCUCGAAUUUAUAUAUGUUUUCUAUUAUGUACUGUAUGAUAGUUGCUAACGAAUUAUUAAAUUUGACUACGAGACCACAUUCUGGAACUUCAAAUCAAACGUGCAAUUGUGUUGUGCUAAUUUAUGAAUUAAUUAAUGCGCUUUAUUAUUAAGUUCUGUAUUA